rnacentral:rRNA from 1 species
AGAGUUUGAUCCUGGCUCAGGAUGAACGCUAGCGGCAGGCCUAAUACAUGCAAGUCGAGCGGUAACAUGAGUAGCAAUACUUGAUGACGAGUGGCGCACGGGUGCGUAACGCGUAUGCAACCUACCUUUAACUGGAAGAUAGCUCCGAGAAAUCGGGAUUAAUACUCCAUAGUAUUAUUAAACGGCAUCGUUUGAUAAUUAAAGCUCCGGCGGUUAAAGAUGGGCAUGCGUGACAUUAGCUUGUUGGUGAGGUAACGGCUCACCAAGGCAACGAUGUCUAGGGGAUCUGAGAGGAUUAACCCCCACACUGGUACUGAGACACGGACCAGACUCCUACGGGAGGCAGCAGUAAGGAAUAUUGGACAAUGGAGGCAACUCUGAUCCAGCCAUGCCGCGUGAAGGAUGAAGGCCCUAUGGGUUGUAAACUUCUUUUGAACGGGAGAAAACCCCUCUACGUGUAGAGGGCUGAUAGUACCGUUAGAAUAAGGAUCGGCUAACUCCGUGCCAGCAGCCGCGGUAAUACGGAGGAUCCAAGCGUUAUCCGGAUUUAUUGGGUUUAAAGGGUGCGUAGGCGGAAUAGUAAGUCAGUGGUGAAAUCCUGCAGCUUAACUGCGGAACUGCCAUUGAUACUGCUGUUCUUGAGUACAUUUGAUGUGGGCGGAAUGUGUCGUGUAGCGGUGAAAUGCUUAGAUAUGACACAGAACACCGAUUGCGAAGGCAGCUCACAAAACUGUAACUGACGCUGAGGCACGAAAGCGUGGGGAUCAAACAGGAUUAGAUACCCUGGUAGUCCA